rnacentral:rRNA from 1 species
CACGUAGGGUGCGAGCGUUGUCCGGAAUUAUUGGGCGUAAAGAGCUCGUAGGCGGUUUGUCGCGUCUGCUGUGAAAGACCGGGGCUCAACUCCGGUUCUGCAGUGGGUACGGGCAGACUAGAGUGCAGUAGGGGAGACUGGAAUUCCUGGUGUAGCGGUGAAAUGCGCAGAUAUCAGGAGGAACACCGAUGGCGAAGGCAGGUCUCUGGGCUGUAACUGACGCUGAGGAGCGAAAGCGUGGGGAGCGAACAGG